CAUACACAAUACACAUAUUUAUUCUUUAUUUACUUCUUUUGUUUAUUUUUCCUUUGUUAUCUUUUAUCUUAUUGUAUUUUAUUUGGAUCUUUUCACGACCAUUUAUUCAAGAUUGUUAUCCUAUUGGAUAUAGCUGUUUUGCACAUAACAAAUAUCAUAAAACGAAUACAAAUUUAUCAAAAUAAAAAUGUUUUUUAAUGCAUAGACAUGUUUUCUAUACUAAACACAAUAUCGAUCCAUUAUAUUUAUGUCCUAGUAUAUAAAGGAUGUUGAAUUUUUAGGCCUACGUUAUUGUUGGACAUUAAAGAAAUCGCCCAUAUUACAAGUUCACAUUCAGGCACUCUGCAUGUAGCCAUGUACAUCUAUCUAUCUAUCUAUCUGCAUGUACAUCUAUCUAUCUAUCUAUCCAGGUGGGGCAAAUCUGGACACAUGUCAUCUAUACUAAUAAAGACUGAAGUUUCGUGUGCUUUAAUGGGCUCUAAAAAGUUGAACAAGUUAUUAAGCCCAUUUUUCUCUAAACCUAGCAAUCUCCUUCUAGCCGUAUCUAGCCGUAUGUGACCUUUCGCAACCUCUCUUCAGCUUAGUUCGCCGUCACUGCUCCUUCCGUUUUGAAGACUAUGGCACAUCCCCUUCCCAAUAACUACAUCAGUAAUAAUCGAACAACACAGUUACAAUUUCAAGAUGCCCCUCUCUUCAUCCUCUCCUGCUUCGCUAUAUAUAUACGGAGCUCACCCCUUACACGAAGUCCCGAUUAUCACUCCUAAUCCCACAAAAACCACAUCAGUUAUUUCUCAAAAAGGCUCCAAAUCUAUCGUCGCCAACCUUCCAACUGUUUUCUCCUGAUACGUUGUCGCUGGUGUAUGUCUGAGGGGAAGAUGCUUUUAAACUGUAUUUUUUCAUCUGCUCAUAUCUUUUAUUUGAUCAGAUAUCAGCUAUGAUCUUUAUCUGUGAUGAAUCCAUAUUUUAAUAUUAAAUUCAUUGGUAUGUGUUAUAUGUUUUGUAUCAAGAUCAUGUUUCAAACAUAAUUUUUGGUUUGCAGGAAUGUGCUAAUUAAUUAGGAGCAGAUCUUCUACCAAAGAUGCAUGGUUAUGAAGAAGUAUGGUGGAUCAGACAAUGAGUAUGAGGAUGAAAAUUAACUCCAAAGGAAGACUGGAGUAUCUUGAAUUGCGCCAGAAGGCAACGAGUCCAUCAGGUUGCUUCCAUCAUUGAACUCAUAAGAUCUAACGAUGCCUACAAUGUAAAUUGUAAUGCCGAGUUUAAGCAGACCUUUGAAGAGGUUUGGUGUAUAACUGACAUCUGUAUUUCUUAUGAUUUCUAUGUUUCUUUAUUUCGACAAUGAUCUAUAAGAUUGAGCGUUUUUUAUCCGCUUACGUGUAGCUUAUCUAUGUUAUCUCAAACUAUUUACGGUGAUCUUUGAAUGAUAAGUCUCCAUCAUUAUCGUUUUGUGGUAUGUUUAUUUCAGUUGAACUUUUAUUCAAAAAAUUUGACUACUUUUUGUUCUCGACCUCAUCUUUAUAAUUUCGUAAUACAAUUUUAUACUUUUAUAAUUUCAAGAUCAAAACUUCAGCACAGAUUUCUGAACGGAGAACAAUAUUCUUUGACCAAGAAGAGUGAUAUUCGUCGGUGGACUCCAGCAGGCCAACCGGUUGUGUGAAUAUGUAACGAUGAUGAAAUUCAUGGAAGAAAGUUGGCAAAAGAAAAUUAAUACUUUGCAAUCCAGUAUGUCCACUACAAAGAGAUGACUAAAGGCCGAGGAUUCAGAUAGAAACUUGGAUGCAUCUGAGAAGGCUAGCGAUGUCCACUGAUUUCUCUAGAAUUGGUGUGACUACAGGAGGACCCUUGGGAGAACUAGAAGUCUGGUUGUGGGAUUAAGUGGGAUAAAGCCGGUUAGCAAAAAUAUUCAGUAAAGAGAUCAAGUGUGUGUUGAUGAAACUGAAAUCUGGUAAAGUGGAGUUACACUUGAAUCUAUAAAGGAAUCUUAGGAUGCUGAAAAAGAUGUUUGAGACAUGGAAAAAGUAUUAUAUGGAGGAAGACCGAGGGAAACAAAACGAUACGUAGCAAAUUUGGGAGUGAAGAAACUGGUGGUUCAGUGGAGAAGAUGAAGACGAAGUGGUGGGAGAAGUUAAGGAGUACCAGAUACAUACCUGUUUUUUCCUCGAGAUGCAAAUCUUUUUUUAACACGUUUUGUGUCAUUUGAGGUUUUGGUUUUGUUACUGAUAAAGGUGAAAUGGCUCCAUCGUACUAAAAAGGAGUCACGUUUCAGUAAACUUUUUAAUAUUAAACAUAUAUCUAUAAUGUCACAGGAUCCAAAAUCAUGUGGGUGUGAAUUGUUUUUGUUAUCUCGAAAAACCAAUGAAUUUUGACAUCAGAUUUUUAAAGACUUUGUAUCAUAAUAAUAAAGAUUUACAACAAAAAAAUAUCAUCUCAUAGUUGUAAACCGUUAUUGUUAAUUUGGUUACGAAAAUUGCAAAACUCUUCGAAACAUAUUUAUAUGAAACUUUUGCUCAAACUAAAUGUUCAAUUAUACACAUACGACAUUAGUUAAGAUUUUAAAUAUGUAAAAGAUGUAUCAAAAUAAUUUAUAUAAAUGGUUUCCCAAUAUUAAAAAUGGGAAAACAAAAGACUCUAAUUAGCCAAAAUGAAGGAGUACUAAAUACAUAUGAAAAACUAAGGGGUUGAUUGGUAGCGAAUGUAGGUUUAAUUUUUUCUUCUUUAAAAUUGAAGUUGUUGAUUUUACAACUAUAGUUUUAGAUUUUAUUGAUGUAGAAUUAUUUUAAAGAUUUAAGUCACUAAAUAUAAAGUUGUAGAAAAAUUGAUUUUUAGAGCCAAAAUAUGUCAUUUUUAAGAUUUUGGGUUGUAGCUUUAAUUGUUUUUAAUAAAAUUUGAUUCUUUUGAUUUUAUUGAUGUAGAACACUGACAACUAUCACCAAUCACCUCAUAAACCACGGUCAUACCUUUCAAAUUUUAAAUAGAAAAAAAUUAUAAAUAUUAUUUCUCUUGACAAAACAGAUAAACUCCCAAAUUUUUAUAAUUAAUUUUUAUUAAAAAUUACUUAUAAAUAUACAUGCAUAGAUAACUAAACAAAGUUCAACAAAUGCUAAAAUAAUUUACGAAACAUAAUUAGUAAAACACUAAAAAUAAAAAAAAAAUUAUUAAUU